rnacentral:lncRNA from 1 species
CCCGCUUACAAUUUUGUCAGAUUCCCGUAUCCUGCUUACACCAUGUAUGUAAGUAAUUCUCAUUUUUAUGUUAUUUCCUGUGUCCCGCUAGACUUCAUUUCCCAUUUUUCACAGCACAAUAAUUUGACUUUCAUGUCAGGCUUACAAAAAAACGGCAAUCUUGUGUCACGCCUAGACCCACUAUUCAGACAAAAACAAACAGUAUUUU